GAUGAACGCUGGCGGCGUGCCUAAUACAUGCAAGUCGAGCGAAUGGAUUAAGAGCUUGCUCUUAUGAAGUUAGCGGCGGACGGGUGAGUAACACGUGGGUAACCUGCCCAUAAGACUGGGAUAACUCCGGGAAACCGGGGCUAAUACCGGAUAACAUUUUGAACCGCAUGGUUCGAAAUCGAAAGGCGGCUUAGGCUGUCACUUAUGCAUGGACCCGCGUCGCAUUAGCUAGUUGGUGAGGUAACGGCUCACCAAGGCAACGAUGCGUAGCCGACCUGAGAGGGUGAUCGGCCACACUGGGACUGAGACACGGCCCAGACUCCUACGGGAGGCAGCAGUAGGGAAUCUUCCGCAAUGGACGAAAGUCUGACGGAGCAACGCCGCGUGAGUGAUGAAGGCUUUCGGGUCGUAAAACUCUGUUGUUAGGGAAGAACAAGUGCUAGUUGAAUAAGCUGGCACCUUGACGGUACCUAACCAGAAAGCCACGGCUAACUACGUGCCAGCAGCCGCCGUAA
rnacentral:rRNA from 1 species